rnacentral:misc_RNA from 1 species
GAUUUUGAUUAUUGGUUGUGAUUCAUGCUGAUGCAAAUAUUCUGCCAGGAGGAAUGAGGAAGUAUUAAAAACGUUCAUGCAUUUUUGUUACAUGGAAUGGAAAAUGUUUGAAACAUGUACAAUCCAAGAUUCUACAUUCACAUUCAAUUUCUGAAAUCUCUAAACAGAAGAAUAGAGUUUAUUCUGUUUCUACUUUCUAGUCACCUGAAGAACACUAUCACAGAUUUUGCUGCACUCUAGGUAAGUGAAAUCUUACGCCUUGUUCUUCUUACUUGGUUUUCCUUACCUUGGCUCCACCAUGACCGUCACUAGCAGCACUCCCAAUUUCUCUUCCUAGUUUGAUCCUUGGCCUUUCUCCCUCGCUUUGCUUAAACUGUUUUCCAAGUUUUUCCUUUGAUGAAUAUUUAGUAAUUGCAUGCUUGGAAGGACCUGUGUCGACACUUAUUUCAUUGAUUUUACUUGGAAGUUCAUGAUGACUUGGACCAGAAGAGGCAUCGGAGGCCAUGGAGUCAUCACUCUCAGUACCAUCAUCAACUUUAUUGUAAUUGCCCUUUUUGCAAUCUGCUUGUUUAUCAUUGCUGUGAUCAUCAUCAUCAUGGUGGUGGUGGUUUUCUUGGAUGGGGGAGGCAAUAUAGGUUGUCCACCCAGAUUCUUUGCUGCUGGUACCACUGCAUUCCUCUAUGAAUCCUAGAAUUCCAGAAGACUCCAUUACUUUAUCCAGAGGAGCAGGAUAGAGAAGAGAGGCAUAACACAACGAACAAAGAGAACUAAGUUUCAAGAAACUGGACAGAUGAUCUAGUUAUAGUUAUCAAUAUCACCUUUGGGAGUUCAGUUAUAUCUUUGUCUCUCUGACCAUUAACUACAAGUAUCAUCCCCCACAUGGGGUAAAGAGACCCCUCUGAUACUGCACAUGAAACCUUCAUUAUUGAAUUGCCGGGGGCAAAUUUCACCGUCAGUCAAUCCUAACACCAUUAUUUCUCUGGCUUGAAUUGCUAUAGGACAAGCUAUGGAAUGGGACAAAAAUCCAAGUUCUUGAAUAUCAUGAAUCAGACCUUUCAAGUUUCACCAGAAAAAUACAACCUCUACUUCUCUGAGCAUUUCAUAAAUUAAAAGCAGCUUUGCGAGUGGCAAUACAGGCGAGGCCCACUCCAAAACCAGAAAGUGAGACACAUUUUCUCAAAUAGGAUAGAACAUUAGCCUCACUAAGCUUUUAAUUCACACCUUUAAUUUUCUGUCUUGUCGUCAAAAAGGGCAGCCUUUUCCUGGGAAAAAUUUUGAAGAGGACCCAACUGGGUUUUCGCAUUUUGUAUAAGGUUGGAUGGAAUUAUGUUUCUCUGUUAUCAUUUGCUGUUUUCAGUCUCAUGUAUAAAGUAGGUUUAUGUCUAGUGUUACAUGGAAGCUGAUAUCAAGGAAAUAACAUACUGAAAGCAACUAUUCUGAGAAGUUGUUCUAAU